rnacentral:rRNA from 1 species
GACGAACGCUGGCGGCAUGCCUAACACAUGCAAGUCGAACGGAGGUAUGGGCUUCGGCCCAUGCCUUAGUGGCGAACGGGUGAGUAACACGUGAGCAACCUGCCCCGUACUACGGGAUAACACUAAGAAAUUAGUGCUAAUACGGUAUAUGACCACACCGAGGCAUCUCGGAGGGGUAAAAGCGUUUAGCGGUACGGGAUGGGCUCGCGGCCAAUUAGCUAGUUGGUGAGGUAACGGCCCACCAAGGCGACGAUUGGUAGCCGACUUGAGAGAGUGAUCGGCCACACUGGAACUGAGACACGGUCCAGACUCCUACGGGAGGCAGCAGUGGGGAAUAUUGGGCAAUGGAGGAAACUCUUACCCAGCAAUGCCGCGUGAGUGAAGAAGGUCUUCGGAUUGUAAACUGCUUUAGUCUAGGAAAAGGGUGCGAGGUUAAUACCCUCGUGCUUUGAUGGUACUGGAAGAAUAAGCACCGGCUAACUACGUGCCAGCAGCCGCGGUAAUGAGUAGUA